rnacentral:rRNA from 1 species
UGCUAUUUGUAGACUUAUAAAUAGUAAUUCCUGCCCAGUGAUAAUUUCAACGGCCGCGGUAUCCUAACCGUGCGAAGGUAGCAUAAUCACUUGCCUACUAAUUAUAGGCUAGAAUGAAUGGAUCAACGAAAUCUAAGCUGUCUCUAGUAAGCAAAUUAAAAUUAAUAUAGGAAGUGAAGAAGCUCCUAUAAUCUCGCAGGACAAGAAGACCCUAUAGAGCUUUAUUAUAAAUCUUUAUUUAAUAGAGACAAAUAAUUCGGUUGGGGCGACCUAGGUAUAAUAAACAACCUUAUUUACAAUAGAUAAACAUAUCUUAUAAAAGAUCCAUAUUCAUGAUCACUGAAAUAAGCUACCUUAGGGAUAACAGGCUAAUUUUCUUUAAGAGCUCAUAUCUACAAGAAAGAUUGGCACCUCGAUGUUGGCUUAGAAAUACUUUAUAGCGCAGAAGCUAUAAUAGGUGGUUUGUUCAACCUUUAAAAUUCU